rnacentral:rRNA from 1 species
GAUGAACGCUGGCGGCGUGCCUAAUACAUGCAAGUCGAGCGAACGGACGAGAAGCUUGCUUCUCUGAUGUUAGCGGCGGACGGGUGAGUAACACGUGGAUAACCUACCUAUAAGACUGGGAUAACUUCGGGAAACCGGAGCUAAUACCGUAUAAUCUUUUGAACCGCAUGGUUCAAAAGUGAAAGACGGUCUUUCUGUCACUUAUAGAUGGAUCCGCGCUGCAUUAGCUAGUUGGUAAGGUAACGGCUUACCAAGGCAACGAUGCAUAGCCGACCUGAGAGAGGGAUAGGCCACCCGGGAACGGGGACACGGUCAAGACGCCUGAGAGAGGCAGCAGUAGGGAAUGUUACGCAAUGGGCGAAAGCAUGACGGAGCAAGGGCGCGUGAGAGAUGGAGGUGUUCGGAUCGUAAAACUCUGUUAUUAGGGAAGAACAUAUGUGUAAGUAACUGUGCACAUAGUGACGGUACCUAAUCAGAAAGCAACGGCUAACUACGUG